rnacentral:rRNA from 1 species
CGAACGUGGAUAAUCUGCCCUGCACAGGGGACGAACAGCUAGAAAUGGCUGCUAAUACCGCAUAAGCCUACAGCCUCGCAUGAGGGAGUAGGAAAAGAAAUUCGGUGCAGGAUGAGUCCGCGUCUGAUUAGCUAGCUGGAGGGGUAAAAGCCCACCAAGGCAACGAUCAGUAGCCGGCCUGAGAGGGCGACCGGCCACAUUGGGACUGAGACACGGCCCAAACUCCUACGGAAGGCAGCAG